rnacentral:piRNA from 1 species
GUUGUCCGUGACUAUUACCCCGU